rnacentral:snoRNA from 1 species
GGGCAGAUCUGAUAUCGUGGUUCGGUAUUUAACCUGCCGUUGUACAGUAUCAUAUGCGGUCUGCCCAGACUAAACGUGUUCUCAUAGUCCUCUUUGCUGAUUCUCCUCACAAUUUGGCUCUCCGAAUUCGACAA